rnacentral:rRNA from 1 species
GUAGCGAAAUUCCUUGUCGGGUAAGUUCCGACCUGCACGAAUGGCGUAAUGAUGGCCAGGCUGUCUCCACCCGAGACUCAGUGAAAUUGAACUCGCUGUGAAGAUGCAGUGUACCCGCGGCAAGACGGAAAGACCCCGUGAACCUUUACUAUAGCUUGACACUGAACAUUGAGCCUUGAUGUGUAGGAUAGGUGGGAGGCUUUGAAGUGUGGACGCCAGUCUGCAUGGAGCCGACCUUGAAAUACCACCCUUUAAUGUUUGAUGUUCUAACGUGGACCCGUUACCCGGGUUGCGGACAGUGUCUGGUGGGUAGUUUGACUGGGGCGGUCUCCUCCUAAAGAGUAACGGAGGAGCACGAAGGUUGGCUAAUCCUGGUCGGACAUCAGGAGGUUAGUGCAAUGGCAUAAGCCAGCUUGACUGCGAGCGUGACGGCGCGAGCAGGUGCGAAAGCAGGUCAUAGUGAUCCGGUGGUUCUGAAUGGAAGGGCCAUCGCUCAACGGAUAAAAGGUACUCCGGGGAUAACAGGCUGAUACCGCCCAAGAGUUCAUAUCGACGGCGGUGUUUGGCACCUCGAUGUCGGCUCAUCACAUCCUGGGGCUGAAGUAGGUCCCAAGGGUAUGGCUGUUCGCCAUUUAAAGUGGUACGCGAGCUGGGUUUAGAACGUCGUGAGACAGUUCGGUCCCUAUCUGCCGUGGGCGCUGGAGAACUGAGGGGGGCUGCUCCUAGUACGAGAGGACCGGAGUGGACGCAUCACUGGUGUUCGGGUUGUCAUGCCAAUGGCACUGCCCGGUAGCUAAAUGCGGAAGAGAUAAGUGCUGAAAGCAUCUAAGCACGAAACUUGCCCCGAGAUGAGUUCUCCCUGAGACUUUAGGUCUCCUGAAGGAACGUUGAAGACGACGACGUUGAUAGGCCGGGUGUGUAAGCGCAGCGAUGCGUUGAGCUAACCGGUACUAAUGAACCGUGAGGCUUAACCUUACAACGCCGAAG